GAUGAACGCUAGCGACAGGCUUAACACAUGCAAGUCGAGGGGCAGCAGGGGAGUAGCAAUACUCCCGCUGGCGACCGGCGCACGGGUGAGUAACACGUAUGCAACCUGCCCUUGUCAGGGGGAUAAGCGGAAGAAAUUCCGUCUAAUACCGCAUAAUGCUGCGGGGAGACAUCUCCCUGCAGCCAAAGAUUUAUCGGACAAGGAUGGGCAUGCGGCGCAUUAGCUGGUUGGCGGGGUAACGGCCCACCAAGGCGACGAUGCGUAGGGGUUCUGAGAGGAAGGUCCCCCACACUGGUACUGAGACACGGACCAGACUCCUACGGGAGGCAGCAGUGAGGAAUAUUGGUCAAUGGCCGGGAGGCUGAACCAGCCAAGUCGCGUGAGGGAAGACGGUCCUAUGGAUUGUAAACCUCUUUUGUCAGGGAGCAAAAACUGCCACGCGUGGCAGGAUGAGAGUACCUGAAGAAAAAGCAUCGGCUAACUCCGUGCCAGCAGCCGCGGUAAUACGGUGGAUGCGAGCGUUAUCCGGAUUUAUUGGGUUUAAAGGGUGCGUAGGCGGACAGUUAAGUCAGCGGUAAAAUUGAGAGGCUCAACCUCUUCCCGCCGUUGAAACUGAUUGUCUUGAGUGGGCGAGAAGUAUGCGGAAUGCGUGGUGUAGCGGUGAAAUGCAUAGAUAUCACGCAGAACUCCGAUUGCGAAGGCAGCAUACCGGCGCCCAACUGACGCUGAAGCACGAAAGCGUGGGUAUCGAACAGGAUUAGAUACCCUGGUAGUCCACGCAGUAAACGAUGAAUACUAAUUGUUCGGGUCAAAUGAGAUCUGAGUGAUACAGCGAAAGCGUUAAGUAUUCCACCUGGGGAGUACGCCGGCAACGGUGAAACUCAAAGGAAUUGACGGGGGCCCGCACAAGCGGAGGAACAUGUGGUUUAAUUCGAUGAUACGCGAGGAACCUUACCCGGGCUCAAACGACACAGGAAUGAUCUGAGAAAUCAGGCAGUCCUCCGGGACCUGUGUCGAGGUGCUGCAUGGUUGUCGUCAGCUCGUGCCGUGAGGUGUCGGCUUAAGUGCCAUAACGAGCGCAACCCCCAUCGACAGUUGCCAGCAGGUGAAGCUGGGCACUCUGUCGAGACUGCCGGCGCAAGCUGUGAGGAAGGCGGGGAUGACGUCAAAUCAGCACGGCCCUUACGUCCGGGGCGACACACGUGUUACAAUGGCAGGUACAGCGGGAAGCCACCUGGCGACAGGGAGCGGAACCCGAAAGCCUGUCUCAGUUCGGAUUGGAGUCUGCAACUCGACUCCAUGAAGCUGGAUUCGCUAGUAAUCGCGCAUCAGCCACGGCGCGGUGAAUACGUUCCCGGGCCU
rnacentral:rRNA from 1 species